AAUCAACGCUGGCGGCGUGCCUAACACAUGCAAGUCGAACGCGAAAACCCCGCAAGGGUUAGUAGAGUGGCAAACGGGUGAGUAACACGUGGGUGACCUGCCUUCGAGUGGGGGAGUAACGUCCCGAAAGGGACGCUAAUACCGCAUGACAUCCUGCCUUUGAAGAGGCGGAGAUCAAAGCUGGGGACCGCAAGGCCUAGCGCUUGAAGAGGGGCCCGCGCCUGAUUAGCUAGUUGGUGGGGUAANGGCUCACCAAGGCAACGAUCAGUAUCCGGCCUGAGAGGGCGGACGGACACACUGGGACUGAGACACGGCCCAGGCUCCUACGGGAGGCAGCAGUGGGGAAUUGUUCGCAAUGGGCGCAAGCCUGACGACGCAACGCCGCGUGGAGGAUGAAGACC
rnacentral:rRNA from 1 species